AUUUCAUGCAUUUUUUAAAAGGGCAUUUGAGGGGAGGAUGAUUCCUAUGAGUGAAAAAAAUGUUUUAGCUUAGUCUAAGCUACCUGCCUUCAAAAUAGUGUAGGGACCACCAUCAUUUGCUCUCACCAAUUUUUUAUAUUAAGCAAGAUGGCCUGUUCCAGCAGGGUCAUAUUUUUUAAGUUAUCUUUCAGGGCAAAAUGGAA
rnacentral:lncRNA from 1 species